AGCGAACGCUGGCGGCAGGCUUAACACAUGCAAGUCGAACGGUCCUUCGGGAUAGUGGCGGACGGGUGAGUAACACGUGGGAACGUACCCUUAGGUUCGGAACAACACAGGGAAACUUGUGCUAAUACCGGAUAAGCCCUUCGGGGGAAAGAUUUAUCGCCUUUGGAGCGGCCCGCGUCUGAUUAGCUUGUUGGUGAGGUAAUGGCUCACCAAGGCUACGAUCAGUAGCUGGUCUGAGAGGAUGGCCAGCCACACUGGGACUGAGACACGGCCCAGACUCCUACGGGAGGCAGCAGUGGGGAAUCUUGCGCAAUGGGCGAAAGCCUGACGCAGCCAUGCCGCGUGGAUGAUGAAGGUCUUAGGAUUGUAAAAUCCUUUCACCGGGGACGAUAAUGACGGUACCCGGAGAAGAAGCCCCGGCUAACUUCGUGCCAGCAGCCGCGGUAAUACGAAGGGGGCUAGCGUUGCUCGGAAUUACUGGGCGUAAGGGGCGCGUAGGCGGACAGUUAAGUUGGGGGUGAAAGCCCGGGGCUCAACCUCGGAAAUGCCUUCAAUACUGGCUGUCUUGAGUACGGGAGAGGUGAGUGGAACUCCGAGUGUAGAGGUGAAAUUCGUAGAUAUUCGGAAGAACACCAGUGGCGAAGGCGACUCACUGGCCCGUUACUGACGCUGAGGCGCGAAAGCGUGGGGAGCAAACAGG
rnacentral:rRNA from 1 species